GACGAACGCUGGCGGCGUGCUUAACACAUGCAAGUCGAACGGAAAGGCCCUGCUUUUGUGGGGUGCUCGAAUGGCGAACGGGUGAGUAACACGUGAGUAACCUGCCCUUGACUUUGGGAUAACUUCAGGAAACUGGGGCUAAUACCGGAUAGGAGCUCCUGCUGCAUGGUGGGGGGUUGGAAAGUUUCGGCGGUUGGGGAUGGACUCGCGGCUUAUCAGCUUGUUGGUGGGGUAGUGGCUUACCAAGGCUUUGACGGGUAGCCGGCCUGAGAGGGUGACCGGCCACAUUGGGACUGAGAUACGGCCCAGACUCCUACGGGAGGCAGCAGUGGGGAAUAUUGCACAAUGGGCGGAAGCCUGAUGCAGCAACGCCGCGUGCGGGAUGACGGCCUUCGGGUUGUAAACCGCUUUCGCCUGUGACGAAGCGUGAGUGACGGUAAUGGGUAAAGAAGCACCGGCUAACUACGUG
rnacentral:rRNA from 1 species